GCACGAGAAAGUGGAGCAAUCCAUGAGUAAAGUGGCGCACGGGUGAGUAACACGUGACUAACCUACCCUCGAGUGGGGAAUAACUUCGGGAAACCGAGGCUAAUACCGCAUAACACUUACGAGUCAAAGCAGCAAUGCGCUUGAGGAGGGGGUCGCGGCAGAUUAGCUAGUUGGUGAGGUAAUGGCUCACCAAGGCGAUGAUCUGUAUCCGGCCUGAGAGGGCGCACGGACACACUGGAACUGAAACACGGUCCAUACUCCUACGGGAGGCAGCAGUGGGGAAUUUUGCGCAAUGGGGGAAACCCUGACGCAGCAACGCCGCGUGGAGGAUGAAAUCCCUUGGGAUGUAAACUCCUUUCGAUCGGGACGAUUAUGACGGUACCGGAAGAAGAAGCCCCGGCUAACUUCGUGCCAGCAGCCGCGGUAAU
rnacentral:rRNA from 1 species